rnacentral:rRNA from 1 species
CGGCCGCGUCGACAUUUAUCUGCCACUCAUGGAUGGGCCUGCGGUGCAUUAGCUAGUUGGUGAGAUAGUAGCUCACCAAGGCGACGAUGCAUAGCCGACCUGAGAGGGUGAUCGGCCACACUGGGACUGAGACACGGCCCAGACUCCUACGGGAGGCAGCAGUAGGGAAUUUUCCGCAAUGGGCGAAAGCCUGACGGAGCAACGCCGCGUGUGGGAUGACGCUUUUCGGAGUGUAAACCACUGUUCAUGGGGACGAAGCACUGACGGUACCCAUGGAGGAAGGCCCGGCUAACUACGUGCCAGCAGCCGCGGUAAUACGUAGGGGUCGAGCGUUGUCGGAGUUACUGGGCGUAAAGCGCAUGCAGGCGGCUCAUUACGCAUGGCGUGAAACCCCCCGGCUCAACC